GAUUAGCGCUGGCGGCGUGCAUAACACAUGCAAGUCGAACGAUGAAACUUUUUUGAUUUCUUCGGAAUGAAAAAAAGUGGAUUAGUGGCGGACGGGUGAGUAACGCGUGAGUAACCUGCCUUAGAGAAGGGGAUAGCCUUUGGAAACGAAGAAUAAUACCCUAUGAAACCAUAACCUCGCAUGAGGCCUUGGUCAAAGAUUUAUCGCUCUAAGAUGGACUUGCGUCUGAUUAGUUAGUUGGUGGGGUAACGGCCCACCAAGACAGCGAUCAGUAGCCGGCUUGAGAGAGUGUACGGCCACAUUGGGACUGAGACACGGCCCAGACUCCUACGGGAGGCAGCAGUGGGGAAUUUUGCACAAUGGGGGGAACCCUGAUGCAGCGACGCCGCGUGAUUUAGAAGGCCUUCGGGUUGUAAAAAUCUUUUCUAUGGGAAGAAAAUGACAGUACCAUAGGAAUAAGGACCGGCUAAUUACGUGCCAGCAGCCGCGGUAAUACGUAAGGUCCGAGCGUUGUCCGGAAUCAUUGGGCGUAAAGGGUACGUAGGCGGGUAAGCAAGUUAGAAGUGAAAUCCUAUAGCUCAACUAUAGUAAGCUUUUAAAACUGCUCAUCUUGAGGUAUGGAAGGGAAAGUGGAAUUCCUAGUGUAGCGGUGAAAUGCGCAGAUAUUAGGAGGAAUACCGGUGGCGAAGGCGACUUUCUGGCCAUAACCUGACGCUGAGGUACGAAAGCGUGGGUAGCAAACAGG
rnacentral:rRNA from 1 species